AGAGUUUGAUCAUGGCUCAGGACGAACGCUGGCGGCGUGCCUAACACAUGCAAGUCAAGGGGAAAGUUUAACUUCGGUUUAACGAGUAUACUGGCGGACGGGUGAGUAACGCGUAGGCAACCUGCCCUUUCGAACGGGAUAACCCAGCGAAAGUUGGACUAAUACCGUAUACUGCAUAUUGAUCGCAUGAUUACUAUGUUAAAGGUUGCUCUUCGGAGCACUCGCGAGAGGAUGGGCCUGCGUUCCAUUAGUUAGUUGGUGAGGUAACGGCUCACCAAGGCAGCGAUGGAUAGCUGAUUUGAGAGAGUGGUCAGCCACACUGGGACUGAGAUACGGCCCAGACUCCUACGGGAGGCAGC
rnacentral:rRNA from 1 species